UGCGAAGUGGCGGAACUUUGGUAGACGCACCGGCAUGAGAGGCCGGCGCCCUUCGGGGCGUGAGGGUUCGAGUCCCUUCUUCGCGA
rnacentral:tRNA from 2 species